GAUGCUGGGGAAGGGUUCCCUGCCGCUGUGCUCGUGGUCCUGGAGCCCCUCCCUGUCCUGAGGCCCCCUGUCCCCUGGGAUGCGCUACAAAGGCAGCCCUGCUCCCCAGCAGGCAUGGGGUCGUGUCUCCCCCCGGCCAAAUGCUGCUCCCACUCCGUGGUCCCCAAAGAGAAGGGUGGUGGUGGGAGUUUCCCUCCAUGCACCCCUUCAACGGCCACAUCCCUCGUGGCAGCUGGGAGUGGCAGGGUUGGGGUCCUGUGUGCCCCACCUCAUCAAUGGGGCAGCCAGGAAGGAUGCUGGGGAAAUGCUGUGCCAGGCAACCCACGAGUGAGAUACCUGGCUGCAAUGCUCUUGGAGGCUUUACUGGGAUGAGAGGGGUUUGUCUGGUCGGUUCUGGUUGUGGGACAGAUGGGAUGGCGUUGACCCAAGGUGGCCGUGCUCCAUGUGUUAGCGGUUUCUGCCGUGCCUGCAGAAGUACUCCCCGUGACUGCAUGUCCUUGGAAGCGUUGUGAAUGGUAGAAAGCCUCAAGCGUGUGUCCUGGGGAUGCAACACCUCCAACACCACUCUCUGGCUUUCCCCUGCCUUCAGGGCUCUGCAAAACAACCCACUCAUCUUGCUCUCAAACUCCUCGUGCCCCAGGAGAGGGGAUAUCGGCGCUGACUCAGCUUUCCAGCCCUUCUUUCCCUACAGGAUAUGUGAGCCGGUUCUCCCACUGCCUGAGUGCAUGAGCUGCCUGUUUUCCUGGUGAACUUUACCUCCCUGCCGGGGAAGCUUCCUCCCUGCUGCCAGGCUGGUUGAAAGCCCUCCUCCCCUUGCAGCCAGUCUCUGGAUGUGUGCCCAGUAUGAGGUGGCAGAGAGAGCUGUGGCUGACACAGGGAGACCCCGACCUUGCUUGCGGCUCAGGAAACCCAUUUAGAAAAAGCAGCUGAGCUGCAAGUGAUGAUCUGAAGCCAGGUGAGGUGUAUCUGAUGACAUUUGAGAAGGUGCUGGAGAUAAAUGCUUUCCAAGAGGAUCCUGCGCACCUUUCUGGCUGCGUACGCAGCCUGGAGGCAGCAUCUUCUGUGAUGGAUGGGGGGGCCACUGCUGGACUCACCUCACCCCAUCGCUCCAUCUCUUCUGUGCCAUUGGCGGGGUGCUCUCACUGGCUUUCCAGUCCUCCAGUGACAUUUCUCAUCCCUUGGGAACCAACGUGUGUGGAGCAGUGGUGCUGCUGCCCUCCAGGAAGAUGUGUACUGUCCUGCUGAGAGCUGAUGCUCAGAGGAGGCACUGUUAGGUGGGAGGUGGUGGAGAAGAAACCUGCAACGGUGUUGGCUGAUACUGAAACCCCCUGAAUAUCAGGGAGUGGGAGAAAGUCCCUGACUCUGUGGGUGGAGGAAGGUAUGUGGUAGCAGCACAUGUGUGGUUUUUGGCUUUUAAUGUAGGACUUAAUUAGCCUAGAGAGCUUGUUGCCAAAGAUAUAAUUGAAGCAAGGAGCUGAACGGGAUUAGAAAAUGAUUUGGACAUUUUUGUACAGCUAAUGGGGGCUUCCGACAUUGCCUUACUGGGGAUUUGGAGCCACUGGGAGAAAUGUGAGAGCAGAGGCUGCGGGCAUGGGGAGAGCUGGAGUGGGCUCAAGGGCAAAAAUGUGUUGCGUUAGGUGGGAGCAAGCAAAGAGUGGAGAGGGAAGGACAUGGUGGAAGGCAACCAUCAGAAACUGGGAAAGAUGUGGCUGAUACACUCUGGGUGCUAUCUGCCUGGAUUUGGGUUAAUGGAGAGUUUGCUCAGGCACUUGUGAGGCCACCUCCUAUGCUUGGAAGGCUUGGCUCCACUAUUAAUGAGCGAGAAACCUUCAUUAAAGAGAAAGCCACUGGGUGUCAUGUUGCGAUGUUGCAGGCUGAUGUCCCACAUCCUUCCCAGUUGCCAGGAGCAGGGUUGCCUCUGGGGUGAGUGGCAGCUCUGUGGCACAGCCAGUGGGUUGCCUCGGUGGUGCCAGGCGUAUUUGCCAGCUCUGCCCACAUAAUUGCACAUCUCUGUCAUUCAGCAUGUUUUCUGUUUCUCUGCUCUAUUUCCUUCCCUGAUGGUGUGUGUGAGAGCAGACCACGGGCCAAAAAACCUCAAUGGCCUUGAGGCAUGAACACAGCUAAUAAACACUUUGGGGGUGAAGGGAUGGUUCCUGCAAACCAAAAAUGGGGUGGCUUUUGCCUCCCAACAAGCGUUGGGGGCUGGGGGGGAGCAGGACACCACCAUCACCCCUGCCGAUGGGGCUGCUCGGGGGACAAAGCUCUGGAGACUUGCUGUGCUCCCAGCUCUGACCAGCAGCACUGUUUGGCAGGAGCAUCCCCAGUGCCGGGGGCUUUCUCAGGGAGCAACAUCUGGUCCGGAACAUCCCGUGUCUGCUGGUUUUCAGUUGAAAAGGUUGCUUUUGUGGAAUUUUUAUUGCUUUUUUUGGCAUCGCCUCCCAGCCCUUUUCUGAGAUGGAAAUUGGUCAUUAGUAGAUUUUAUUGUAUUUUUAUUUUAUUCCCAAGCUCAAUCUGCUGGUUUCCUCCUCCCAGGGGACUGGAAGAUCUGGCCGUUCCUCUAACCCUGUUCCCAGGUUGUGGGAGGCUGUUUGAACAGCCUAGGGUGGGAAUAGCAUCCAGGCACCUGGAUUCUGUAGCUCGCCAGCUUGCCAGCCCAGCAUACCAUCCCCAUGCUCUUCCCACCAUCACCACUGGCAUAAAUCUCCAUCAGCUCGACAGCCCUUGAAGCUAUCUCUGAUUUUAUAAUUCAUAAGUAAGCCACCUGCUUCCCCUCCAGUAAAUGCUGUAGUCAGACAAA